rnacentral:rRNA from 1 species
AUGCGUUGUUGGGUAGGGGAGCGUUCUGUAAGCCUGUGAAGGUGUGCUGUGAGGCAUGCUGGAGGUAUCAGAAGUGCGAAUGCUGACAUAAGUAACGAUAAAGCGGGUGAAAAGCCCGCUCGCCGGAAGACCAAGGGUUCCUGUCCAACGUUAAUCGGGGCAGGGUGAGUCGACCCCUAAGGCGAGGCCGAAAGGCGUAGUCGAUGGGAAACAGGUUAAUAUUCCUGUACUUGGUGUUACUGCGAAGGGGGGACGGAGAAGGCUAUGUUGGCCGGGCGACGGUUGUCCCGGUUUAAGCGUGUAGGCUGGUUUUCCAGGCAAAUCCGGAAAAUCAAGGCUGAGGCGUGAUGACGAGGCACUACGGUGCUGAAGCAACAAAUGCCCUGCUUCCAGGAAAAGCCUCUAAGCAUCAGGUAACAUCAAAUCGUACCCCAAACCGACACAGGUGGUCAGGUAGAGAAUACCAAGGCGCUUGAGAGAACUCGGGUGAAGGAACUAGGCAAAAUGGUGCCGUAACUUCGGGAGAAGGCACGCUGAUAUGUAGGUGAAGUCCCUCGCGGAUGGAGCUGAAAUCAGUCGAAGAUACCAGCUGGCUGCAACUGUUUAUUAAAAACACAGCACUGUGCAAACACGAAAGUGGACGUAUACGGUGUGACGCCUGCCCGGUGCCGGAAGGUUAAUUGAUGGGGUUAGCGCAAGCGAAGCUCUUGAUCGAAGCCCCGGUAAACGGCGGCCGUAACUAUAACGGUCCUAAGGUAGCGAAAUUCCUUGUCGGGUAAGUUCCGACCUGCACGAAUGGCGUAAUGAUGGCCAGGCUGUCUCCACCCGAGACUCAGUGAAAUUGAACUCGCUGUGAAGAUGCAGUGUACCCGCGGCAAGACGGAAAGACCCCGUGAACCUUUACUAUAGCUUGACACUGAACAUUGAGCCUUGAUGUGUAGGAUAGGUGGGAGGCUUUGAAGUGUGGACGCCAGUCUGCAUGGAGCCGACCUUGAAAUACCACCCUUUAAUGUUUGAUGUUCUAACGUUGACCCGUAAUCCGGGUUGCGGACAGUGUCUGGUGGGUAGUUUGACUGGGGCGGUCUCCUCCUAAAGAGUAACGGAGGAGCACGAAGGUUGGCUAAUCCUGGUCGGACAUCAGGAGGUUAGUGCAAUGGCAUAAGCCAGCUUGACUGCGAGCGUGACGGCGCGAGCAGGUGCGAAAGCAGGUCAUAGUGAUCCGGUGGUUCUGAAUGGAAGGGCCAUCGCUCAACGGAUAAAAGGUACUCCGGGGAUAACAGGCUGAUACCGCCCAAGAGUUCAUAUCGACGGCGGUGUUUGGCACCUCGAUGUCGGCUCAUCACAUCCUGGGGCUGAAGUAGGUCCCAAGGGUAUGGCUGUUCGCCAUUUAAAGUGGUACGCGAGCUGGGUUUAGAACGUCGUGAGACAGUUCGGUCCCUAUCUGCCGUGGGCGCUGGAGAACUGAGGGGGGCUGCUCCUAGUACGAGAGGACCGGAGUGGACGCAUCACUGGUGUUCGGGUUGUCAUGCCAAUGGCACUGCCCGGUAGCUAAAUGCGGAAGAGAUAAGUGCUGAAAGCAUCUAAGCACGAAACUUGCCCCGAGAUGAGUUCUCCCUGACUCCUUGAGAGUCCUGAAGGAACGUUGAAGACGACGACGUUGAUAGGCCGGGUGUGUAAGCGCAGCGAUGCGUUGAGCUAACCGGUACUAAUGAACCGUGAG